UUACCUCUCCCGCUUUGCUCCCUAUCUCUUCUCCCUUCGUCUCGUUGGCGUCUGCCUUGUUUCUUUUCUUUUUUUUUGUUUCACCCCUUUUGAUUGAUUCUGCAACUCGCUCAUCUACUCGUUUUCUUCUUUCUCCAAGCGUGCGACUCUUCUGUUCUUUAUUAUUAUUAUCAUCUUCUUGCUCUCAAGAUCAUUUUUUUCUUUGUGUUUCUUGUUCGGCCCUUGUCUUUCUGUCCUCGAUCUUCAGCUCUUCUCCCCCCUCUGCUUUGAAUGUGAUACGGACCCUUGCGUGAGUUCUUGCAUGAAGUUUGUGUGAUUACGCUUGAGUACGUGCGCGAGCGAACAAGAUUUUUUUCUCCCUUUUUCCGCUUCUUUCUGUUUUCCUCUUCCACGACGGCAUCUGUUAGCCGGGGAUACAAAAAGUGAGUGUGUGUGCGUGCGUCACUCCUCGUCUCUCUCUCUCUCUCUCUCGCUGAACGUGACUGUGAUAUGCGUCUCCAACAGAGAAAACUGAGACGCUGGCUUCCCUUCCAUCCACACCCCUUUUUUGUCACUCUCUUUGUGUGACGAUCCUACUCGCGCAUUUUCACUCUCUGUUCAUACCCACUUCUUCCUCUUUCGUGUUACCCUCCUUUUUUCCAUUCUGAAUCUCCGUGUUUUAUAUCGGGCUACCCUUCUGUCUAUCGUCAGACACCUUCUUUUUUUUUAUGUGUGAUCACAGCCUCGUUCUAUGUUUGCCGCUUUCUGUUCUUUGCUUUUUCUUUAUUGAGUGCUUCCUCAUCCCUACCCCGUUUCGCUUGCUGUGCUGUGUUUACAUCCCCCUUCCAACAAAAAAGUGUGAGAGGCAGCUCUUUUUUUUCGUGUGCAUGUGCGUUAAUUUUUUUUCUUGUCCCAGACCCCCCCCCUCACCUAGCUCUUGCUCUCUUUCUCCUCCUUUCUUUUUGGCCGCACAGAUGCACCGGACGUACUCUGACAAGGAAGGCGAGCCAAACACAAUUGAAUAACGAGGGGAAAAAGAGCGUUUGACUGUGCCUCCCUUGCCUCACUGUGUUUCUCUUUUUCAUCCCUCUCUUUGCAUUCCCCCUGCCCUCUCCUUUUCUUGUAUUGAACUUGUUUAUCUGAAUCUCUGCUUGUGGGGGAAGGUGUAGUGCUAGCUGUGGGGCGUGAGUAACACAUGUUUUUGUUUGUUUGUUCUCGGUGAGGCAUUAAUUGUGUAUGGCUGAUGAGAUACUGAGUGCAUGUGCGUGUGCUUGGGUAUGUGCGUGCCUGCUAUGCUAGAUGGAAGGACGCAUGCACGUCAUUCCCACGUAAUACGCAUAUCUGCACGUCAUCACACACACGCGCGUACAUGUGAAGCUGCAUUUGCACAAGCGAAUCUUCUCUGUUCUUCGUGGUUUUGGAGGGGCGCCAGCGAAACUCGAUGUUGCUCUACUGCCUUUGCUUAUCAAUCGAGAGGGGUCUGUCGCUUUUACCCUCACCAAAUCACCACAUGACCAGCGCUACACCACAUUGCAAAGUGAAACAUGGCGCCACGCGAAAUCGUUCUCAGCACGGUGUAGAACGCGGUCUUCGAGAGCGAGAUGACGACAAUCGACAUCGAGCAAAAACGACGAAAGAAAAGAACGGCGAAGUCGCUCUCACACUUGUGCUUAUGUUUGUGGAGAAAGUACUGCAUAAACACGGAUAGGCAGAGUGAGUGUGGGUGGGCGAGGACGGGUAGAGGGGCUAUGCGCGCCACCUCUACUGCAGCGCUUCUCUUCGUCUGCGUUUGCUCUGUGCUUUCUAUGGGGACGAGUCAAGCUUUUUUUUGUGUGCUUUCAAUUUUGGGAGGUCUCUCUUCUGGCCCCCUCCGCUCUUUUUCCUUUUUUUCUUUACACGUGUCAUCCAAGCUCAGCGCCGUCAGAAGUGUUUUCGGGCACAUCUGUGAAACAGAGACAAGCAAGAAGGGCGAAAGGGUUGCACAGCGACAGACGAAGAUGUGUGCAAAACAAAAAGAAGGCCGAGCUGUCGCUAUCGCUCAGCAGACCGCUACCGUAUGUGGAGAACAGAUAAAAAAGGAAACACAAGAGGCAAGAUGCACGCGCGCAGAGCUAGUAAAGUAGAUGUUCUUUUUUUUUUCUGACUUGUCCAUUCUGCCGCACACCAUGAGCUGAACUCCACUCUACUCCCGGCCUGGAACAGGCCCCGUCACGUAGUGCGAAGCAGCUGUAGACGCGCCUUCGAGCAAUGCCGACUCAGUCACCUGAGAGCAUGGCCUCCGCCCCACACUCUACCCUUCCCACGACUUCGACGGUUGUCACCUGGUGCGUCCCUCUCUCUAGGGUGGCUCAGGCUCCCCACCAGUAGGUAGUGAUUGCUGGGUAGGAUACAUCUUCGAGUAACACUGACACUCUAUCACAUGGAUGGCACAAGCGUGUUCACAGCCGCAGGUCUCUCCAAUGCAACGCCAUCCACGACCUGGCCGCCAACAUCAGUAACCAUGCAUCGCUCUGACCUCUGUAAGUCGUAGGUGCUUGACUCUAUCACGGCUUGGAGUGGUUCGGCGUUCAGCAGGGAUGGUGGGACUGCUUGGCCUCCUCGCACCUUGUCGGGGGUACUAAACCCUGAUACGACGCUGAGGUGUUCCCCCUCGUCAUCAGGGGGGCAAGUAACGUAGAUCAGAAUGAAAAAUAUAACGCUCACACAAGUUUGUGUUCUGUUGACACCUUCUUUUAUGCGUUUUUCUUUUUCUUUUGUAUCUUCUUGCUCAGUCGUGCUGUUUGCGAGCUUUCAAAAAAAAAUUGUUCUCGGGCGUCUGUGCUGCCGUCUCAACGACUUUUGUCCCCAUCCUCAUCCCCUCCCAUCCCCUCUCCUCUCUUCUCCUACCCUCCUAUCCCCCCAUACCUUUGUCUCUCGCUCGUUUGCAUUGGUUCCUCUCCCGUCACACUUCUACACCACUUCGCUUGCUUUUCUUGAUUUACUUGUCUUCUCUCUGUUUGUGUUUCUAUGUGUGUGUUCCUGAUAGACAGACAGAGGGCGAUGAUAUCCUGAGAUGUGUGCUCUCUUCCGCUAACAGCGUGCCUCGGUGCGUGUGCUUGUGCGCGUGUGUGUUUUCUUGAUUCGUACACUUCCUCUUUUCGUGAGGCAUGCUUGUGAUGGAGUUUUACCUCUUUUUUGUCGUUUUUGUCCUCAACACUUUCAUGUUCUUCUGCUCUCCGUUCCCCAGCGAUUUUUUGUCUUUCUUGCUUCUAUUUAGGAGCUUCGGGCUCGCUUCACACACACACACACACACAUACACGCUCUCUCCCCCUUCUCUCUGUCUUUAUGUCAAAGAAAUUUAUUUCCUGUUCUCUCUCCAUGUCCAUAAGACACCAUGAGAGCAGCUGCCGAAGACCAAGAAAAGGGAGAGAGAAGGGGCUAGACCCAUAAACGCCCGGGUAAGUGAAGCGCAGAUGAAGUGUCCUCCGUGUCAAAGACACUUAUCUCCUUUGUUUUCCUGCGGAGGGAAAAGCACGAUGCUGCAAACUUUUUUUCUUUCGUGUGACUCUCGCUCCCUCUCUCCUGUACCAAACGUGCCUCUGUCCUCGUCAAAAUCUGUGUAUGUGUGUGUGCACGCGCGUGCUCAUUCUAUCUCUGUCCCUCAACUCUCCACUCUCUCAGUAUCUCCAAGACUUGAUGCCAACUCGAGAGAAACCAAGGGCAUACUCCGUCUCUUCCUCCCCGUCCAUUUUUACCUCCCCUCGACCUUCCCAGCUAUCUUUUCCGUUUCUAUCACGUGCCUGUGUGUGCGUGUGCUCCAUCUUGUUCGUGUCUUUCUGAUUCGUGUCUUUCCCCCCUCUACUCUGUUUUUCUUUGUUCCUUGUUCCCUUUUUUCUUCACCCCCUCCUUUCACAUCCCCCUCCCUUCUGUGUCUCUAACGCUAUAUUUUUUGCAAUCCAAGCUCGCUCCGAAAAAAAAAGAAAGAAAAAACGCACAAAAUGUUUACAUGCAUAUGCGUACACGUGAUGCAGUCGAGCCUCACCUCUCAGAAGGAAAAAAAUCAAGGGGCAACAGAAACAACACUAUGUGCUCUCAUACCCAAUGUGCACGUAAACGUAUACCGUAGGGGGCGUGAAAAAGCGAAGCAGACGCUUGAAGGACGACAUACUUUCUCAGUUUUUUUUUUUAUCGUCUUUGUUGUCGUCUCGUGUGUGUGUCUGUGUCUCAGAAAUAUGCUUGUCCGCCGAAGGGAUGCUCUCAUGGACACGAAAAAGAAUGAAUAACGCCACGUCUGUGUUUGUUUCUUUUCUUGCCCCUCUCCCCCUCCCCGCUUUUCUCGCUCUCUUUCGCUCGUUACGGGGAUGUCAGCUGCUGAUGGCGCGUCGACUUUUUUCUCUUUUUUAUCUCUGUUUUCGCGCACAAGUUCGAGUCAUCUAACUCACACAUGCACUCACUUCGUCCCCUCGCUUUUUGCCCGUUCUUUGUACCUCCUGUUUUCCUUUUGUGUUUUUGUGCCUUUCUGUUCUCUCUUUUCUUUUUUUUUGAUCCGCUUAUCAUUGUAUGCUUGCUUUUAUCUUCCACCGUUUCCGCAGCAUUUUCCUCGCCUGACGUGCUCCCCUACCUCUUUCGUCGCCCCCGGGCCCGUUCUCGCCUCCUCUUGACGUUCAUUUGGGCCUUCCUUCUCUCUUUUUUUCCUCUCCCCCCUUUUCUCGCUAGUAUUUUCACAUACGUUGGUGUGAAUAUACUCUGCCUUUUUUUUGUUCUGUCUCUCACGCGUGCGUGCUUGCUUGCGUGCCCCACUUUUCCCUUUGCGCCUCCACACGUGUCGUCUCUCUCUUUUUCUUUGUAUCGUUGUGUACGUUCCACUGACCCUACUCCCUUACCCUCCCCUACGCGCCACUCACCUCCGCGCAGCAUCAAACUAGAUACCCCUGCACGCGGUCUCAGUAUCCGGUAUCGUGCAUCUGAGCCGUUCACCCCCUCCUCCCUCCCUCCGUCCGCCUGCGGGGACGCGAAAAUGAAAAGAGAAGUCGUAAAAGAAAUGGAAGAUGGAGGAGGAGGAGUAGGAGCAGAGGAGGGUUGGAGGUGCAGCCGAACACUAAAAGAGGCAACAACAGAAACGAUAAAUCAAACGCUGCAUCUCAGCACCGUCGUCAUCGCUACGAUGUGGAAGAGGGAAAGAGGGAAGCACUCACACUUACCCACUCACACAUCCACGUACACGAAAAUACAUAGCAUCCGUUUCAAACGGGGUCGAAGUUGACAUAACGACAAGCAAAGGCGACGUGGGAGAACGAAAAAAAAAACAAAGAAUACAAAGGAAAUCAAUCAGUGGCAGACACAAUCGAAAAUCUCUUCACUGAUUCCUUUUUUUUUUGGGAUGAGGGGGGCGGUUGUGUGUGUGUGUGGGGGGGGGGGGUCGUUUCGUUUUCUCUCGCUCGUUUUCUUCCUUCUGAAAACUGCCUCCGCGUUUGUGUCUGUUUACACGUGCCUGCACGCCCCUGCUUCACUCCAGCGCUCACUUGAUCUUUCCGACGUGUAUUGUGUCACCUUGCGAAUGGCGACUCCUACGAAUCCCCAUCCUCCUCUCCUCCUCUUGUGCGCCUUUGCUUUGCCUUUUUAUUGCUUCCUCACCCUCUAUUUUCUCUUCUACCUUUUUUUUGUGGUUGAUUUUCCGAAGUUUGCUGUUCCUUGUGUACAUAGUUGUCUUUUUUUCUUUGCCCCCCCCCCCCUCCUCUUGCUGUCGUUUAUCUUUCGCUGCUGUGUGUGUGUGUGUGUGCAUGUUUUUCUUUUUCUUUUCUGUUGCUUUUCGCUUUACGUCUCCGGCCUCCUGCGUAUGUAUGUUUGUGCAGACAUGCCCUACUAUCUGUAUUUUUUUUCUUCACUUUCCGUUUUCAUGUACUGUUUUCGCCUCUUCUACUCCUUCUUUUCACUUUAUUGCUCUCUCCUUUUUCAUUCUUCGAACCUGCGUUGAGGUCUUCGUGGUUUUAUUUUUGUGUUGCUUUUAUGCUUCUCUUGUCGCUUCGCACGCUUUCGUUCUUCUUGUGUUGCUAACCACUUCGUCCGCUGCUAUAAACACGCCCUCAUACAUGCAGGCACACAUACACGCACGCACGUGCUCUUUUUGUUCGAUAAAGUCACUCUUUUUCUGUCUAUUACUUCUCUCUUCACGCCUUUGACAUUAUUUAUUUAUUUCCCGCUCCUUGCUUCACACAACUCACCGUCUCCUCUCCAGCUCGCAGGAUCUCUCUCGCACCUCUCCUCAUUUCUCGAGCGUGCAGAGGGACGCUUGAGGAGAGGGGCCAAAGGCGCAUCUUCCUCUCUUCUAAACCUUUUGGACAAUGCAGUAUACUCCAAAAAAAAAAACGAAGCGAGAGAAAAUGCAGAGAGCGAACGAAAAUCUGUGUUUUCAGACAGGAACCAACGACGAGAGUGGCUUGCAUUCCCCUUUCUCUCACUCUUCAUGUGCUCGCCUUCUACUACAUUCUUCACCAAUUUCGCGUGUCGCUUUUAUUUUUUAUUUUCUCUUUACAAUGCUUCUUCCUACGACUGUUUUUUUUUUUUCGUUUUCGUUUUGUUCUCUCUCCCUGACGUACAUCUUUUCGUUCUCUCUCUCUGCGUGUAUGCGUGUGUAGGUGUGUGCAAACCUCUGCCUCUGCAUGCGUGGCUGAGCGUGUGCCUCCCUCAAGAGCACAGCCGCAUCCAAAGGUGAACGACAACACGACGCGAACAGAAAUCAAAGAUGCAAGAAAAAGCAGAGAAAAUGCCUCCUAUUUUUUUUCACACACACACACACACACACACACACAAACACACUUUUCCGUGCCCCUUUUCGGGGCGUAGUAGUGUUUUCCUCAUCUUUCGCGUCUCUUUUUUUUCGCUCAAUCGUUCGCUUCCAACAACAACAACACUAAAAAGAAAAGAUGCUGACGCUGAUGCUCACUUGCCUACGAAGCACUUCCGUCUCUCUCUGUCUCUCUGUCUGUCUGUCUUUCUCUGACUUCAUCCUCCGUUUGGAAGAACAAGAAAAAAGAAAGAAAGUUUUUUUUUUUGCGCGCGUUCACGCCAUUUCCAGCUUUUGCUCUCUUUGUGUGUGUGUGUUUGUGUUGCGGAGGCCUUUUCCCUGUCUCUUAGCACCUUUUCUGUUUUUUUUUUCGUGUGUGUGUGUUUCAAAAUGUUUUUUCUUUUUUUUUUUGCAUCAGUGGUCUCUGACGCGUUGUGACCAACAUGUGUGUGAGUGUGCCUGUGUGCGCUCUCGUUUUCGUUUUUUUUGUACGUCUCUGUUUGCGCACUGUGCUCUUGCCUCUCUGCGAAAGCGUGUAGAGUGUUCGCACGCGUAGAGCUGGAGGUGUCAAGAGCGAAAGAGUUUGGGGCAGUCCAUUGGACAAAGAGGAGUGAAGCAGGAUGCUGCGAAUCGAAAGGGAUGAAGACCGUAGAUAGUAAGCCACGCAUCACCUAGAGUUCGUGUCAUUUUUUCUUAUGCCACCAGCAAUGGUCUUCGUUUCUGAUCUGAAGGCUUCUCUCCGGCUAUCUUUACUGGCACCCUCGCAGCUAGCCACCGCUUCUCGCUUGCUCUCACUUUUCUUUUCCUCCGUUGAACUCCCCUUGGGACGCUUGCGCAAAGUGGCGCCACGUCGAUUGAAUUGGCCGGAGGGGCGAAACGAAAGGAGAGAUGCGAAAAGAGAUAGCAUCCAUGUUUUCUCUCCCUCUUUCCUUACCCCCUCUCUUCUUUUUUUCGUUUUUUUUUGUGUUUGGCACACAAGGGGCCGGAGCAAAGACCGAGGUCGGUCGGCGAACAGUCAGGAAUCAGGAAAUCGAAGGGUUUCCUUCACUCAUACCAAUGAUGCCCACCCAUCUCGCUUCUUUCCCUAGAAAGAGAGAGCUGACCUUCAAAUGCAGCAUUUACUCCCUUUAAGUAUUUGAAGCGUUGCCAUAUCGUAGACGUGUUCGCUCUCACCUCGACUUCUUUACUUCUACCCUCCACUCGUGCGUGUGUGUCUUAGCUCAUCGAUAUCUGUCAAGGAGAACGCUUUCUUGCCGUUCUCGUCGCCACUACUACCUGAUUCUCUCAUGCUGACAGAAAAAAGAAAAGGGAGGAUGCAACAUCGUUACCCGCGAAGCUAUCUACACGAAACAGGGAUGCAACGGGGGAGUGUUUUUCGUUGUUCACUCUCCCUCUCUUUGUCCCACUUUCUUCAUGCAUAUUCCUCUCUCUUGUAUAUCUAUUAUAUAGCGUUGGUAGAACAGCGGAGACGUUUUUUUUUUGCGGGCGUUUUUUUCCAGCGCCUCCCCUUUUUUUUCGUCAACUUUUUUGUUGAGCGUAAAGUUUUUUUUUUGUUUCCUCUCUCACACGCCUCACACACUCUUUCUUGAGUGAGUGCAAAGGCGUGUGCUUGUUUUGUUUUGUUGGGCUGUGCAGGGGGUGGGGUCUCACUACACGGUUCCAGCUGCCGUCGCUCCUACUUGAUAGUGCCUGUGAGGGAAGGGGCGAGGUCUCGGUGUGGGCGUGCCGCUGGGUUCACCCCCGCUGCGCGGGUAGAGGUUUCAUUCCACGCCGCCAUUUCCACCACUUGCACAUGACGUGAUCGUGCUUGGUCUGCUUUUGCAUUUCUGCUCUACCGAGGACGGGAGAGGAAGUGACCAGCGCCAAGCCAGCUGGCGAGAUAGGGAGGGAGGGGUGGGGGCAACAGGAUGCACACUUGCGCGAUGCUGUGGCACAGCCAGAAAAUUAACUCGCCUCUGCCCCUUUCUCUCACUCCUUCUCUACAAACUGCUUUACGGGACGACAGAAAAUGAAAGAAAACUCUACUACGUGAAUGGUAACGAUGGGGUGGAGGUUAGGGCGAAAGGCGCUGUAGACGGAUGCAUCUCUUUGCCCCAUUGUGCUGCACUGCUCAUCCUCGCCUCUCUACCUCCUUCUUACAUCUGUUCGCGUUGCAAAACAUGGAGCGGGCCAUGAACGCCAUCCUAUCAGUGCCCCCCCUCCCCACUGUGUUUUCCUUCCAUGCCUGCACGUUAGUGUGAGUCAUCUCUUUUACAUCCCCUUUUCAUCUUCGUUUUGUGUUGUUUUGCUUGGCUCGAAAGUUUUUCCCUUUGCACUGCUGUUACCAGACGCGAAUCUCUCUCUGUGUACGUGGCUGUGUCAGUUAGGUGGUUG
rnacentral:misc_RNA from 1 species